AGGAUGAACGCUGGCGGUCUGCUUAACACAUGCAAGUCGAACGGGCGUAGCAAUACGUUAGUGGCGGACGGGUGAGUAACGCGUGAGAAUCUACCUUCAGGACGGAGACAACAGUUGGAAACGACUGCUAACCCCCGAUGUACUGAAAAGGCAAAUAUUUAUAGCCUGAAGAAGAGCUCGCGUCCGAUUAGCUAGUUGGAGAGGUAAAAGCUCACCAAGGCGACGAUCGGUAGCUGGUCUGAGAGGACGAUCAGCCACACUGGGACUGAGACACGGCCCAGACUCCUACGGGAGGCAGCAGUGAGGAAUUUUCCGCAAUGGGCGAAAGCCUGACGGAGCGACGCCGCGUGUGGGAGAAGGCCUUCGGGUCGUAAACCACUGUCGAAGGGGAAGAUAAUGACGGUACCCUUGGAGGAAGCCCGGCUAACUACGUGCCAGCAGCCGC
rnacentral:rRNA from 1 species